rnacentral:rRNA from 1 species
GACGAACGCUGGCGGCGUGCCUAAUACAUGCAAGUAGAACGCUGAAGGAGGAGCUUUCUUCUCUGGAUGAGUUGCGAACGGGUGAGUAACGCGUAGGGAACCUGCCUGGUAGCGGGGGAGAACUAUUGGAAACAAUAGCUAAUACCGCAUAAAAGUUAAUGUUGCAUGACGUUUGCUUGAAAAGUGCAAUUUCAUCACUACCAGAUGGACCUGCGUUGUAUUAGCUAGUGGGUGGGGUAACGGCUCACCACGGCGACGAUACAUAGCCGACCGGAUAGGGGAACCGGCCACACUGGAACUGGAACACGGCCAAGACUCCUAGGGAGGCAGCCGUAAGGGAUCCUUGCGAAAGGACGGAAGGCUGAACGAGGCAACGCGGGUGAGUGAAGAAGGGUUCCCGAUCGUAAAGAUUCGUUGUUAGAGAAGAAAGAGUGUGAGAGUGGACAGUGCACACUGUGACGGUACCUAACCAGAAAGGGACGGCUAACUACGUG